UUGAGUUUUAUCAUUUUCAGUGUUUAUAAUUGUUAUUAUUGCUCUUAACGUCUUUAAUAUUUUUCUGAUGUCAGUGUGCUGCUUAUUGCUUUAGCUAUUCUUCAGCCUUUGGUCUUAACUACACGGCUCAGUCUUCUUUCUAAUGGCGAUAUAUUGACAGGAUUCUUAAAGAUGAAGCUACCGAAGAAAAGGGUGAGCGAGCUAGAAUGGUACAUUUCAUGCAUCCUUCGUGGGGGCAAUGGCAAUUACGGACUUGGUUAAGACAACCUUAGGACCUAAGGGAAUGGAUAAAAUUUUACAGACAACUGGGAGAGGUCAUAGUGUUACAGUUACAAAUGAUGGCGCCACAAUUUUGAAGUCCCUCCAUAUCGACAAUCCUGCUGCCAAGGUCCUUGUUGGUAUCCUUUCUUUUCUUUUUUUCUGGGAGAGAGGGGG